AUUGAACGCUGGCGGCAUGCCUUACACAUGCAAGUCGAACGGUAACAGGCCGCAAGGUGCUGACGAGUGGCGAACGGGUGAGUAAUGCAUCGGAACGUGCCCAGUCGUGGGGGAUAACGCAGCGAAAGCUGUGCUAAUACCGCAUACGAUCUGUGGAUGAAAGCGGGGGACCUUCGGGCCUCGCGCGAUUGGAGCGGCCGAUGUCAGAUUAGGUAGUUGGUGGGGUAAAGGCUCACCAAGCCAACGAUCUGUAGCUGGUCUGAGAGGACGACCAGCCACACUGGGACUGAGACACGGCCCAGACUCCUACGGGAGGCAGCAGUGGGGAAUUUUGGACAAUGGGCGCAAGCCUGAUCCAGCAAUGCCGCGUGCAGGAAGAAGGCCUUCGGGUUGUAAACUGCUUUUGUACGGAGCGAAAAGGCUCUCUCUAAUACAGGGGGCUCAUGACGGUACCGUAAGAAUAAGCACCGGCUAACUACGUGCCAGCAGCCGCGGUAACAC
rnacentral:rRNA from 1 species